rnacentral:lncRNA from 1 species
GUGAGAACGCUGCCUAUAAAUAAAGCCAAGAUGAGAAAAUUUAUUGAGUAUUUUCAGUUUUGCACAUUGCAGUUGCAAUGCAUUCUACUUUAGCUACACAAUACAUUUUAUUGUUGGAAGAAAGGAGAAAAGGAACAUAUUUUUCCUGAAGAAAAAGACAGAAGAAAUCAUCAUAUUAAAGGAAGACUCAGCUAGUGCAAACUUCCUUCCUACUCAGCAUUACCUUAAGG